GAGAGCAGUCUACAGCCUGAGACCCAUCACUAGGACACAAUUGAAGAAACUGGUAGUUUUACCAAGGCUUUGACUGGAAUGGUGCACUUUCCUAUAAGGAAUCAAACUUGACUUAAGAAGCCAAUAAAGCCCUUGGAAAAACUGGCCUCAUAUUUUGUGUACACAGUCCGUGUACAGGGUUUCUGGCCUGUGGACAUGAGACUUCACAACCUGCUAAAAAUCUUCGUUCGGGACCUACCUGUCUAGGAAUAAACCAUCCUUGCCAUGAGAGAUCAAAUGAAACCUGAGACCAGAGAUUCAUUUUCUUGUAAAAUGCCUUCUCCAAAAGAUUUUUGAAAAGAAAGGGGGGAAAUAUGAAAGGAAAUUAAAGCUUGGGGCCCCCAAAUCACUAAGCUAAAGGGAAUAGUCAAGCUGGGAACUGCUUAGGGCAAAGCUGCCUCCCAUUCUAUUCAAAGUCACCCCUGUGCUCACUGAGAUAGAUGCAUAUCUGAUUGCCUCCUUUGGAAAGGCUAACAGAAUCUCAAAAGAAUGUAACCAUUUGUGUAUCACCUAUCUGUGACCUGGAAGCCUCCUCCCCACUUCAAGUCUUCCUGCCUUUCCAGACUGAACCAAUGUACUUCUUACAUAUAUUGAUUGAUGUCUCAUGCCUCCCUAAAAUGUAUAAAACUAAGCUGUACCCCAACCACCUUGGGCACAGGUCUUCAGGACUUCCUGAGGCUGUCACGGACACAUGUCCCCAACCUUGGCAAAAUAAACAAUUAACUGAGACCUGUCUCAAA
rnacentral:lncRNA from 1 species